CCUACGGGCGGCAGCAGUGGGGAAUAUUGGACAAUGGGGGGAACCCUGAUCCAGCCAUGCCGCGUGUGUGAAGAAGGCCCUCGGGUUGUAAAGCACUUUCAGUGAGGAAGAACGCCUGGUGGUUAAUACCCAUCAGGAAAGACAUCACUCACAGAAGAAGCACCGGCUAACUCCGUGCCAGCAGCCGCGGUAAUACGGAGGGUGCGAGCGUUAAUCGGAAUUACUGGGCGUAAAGCGCGCGUAGGUGGCUUGAUAAGCCGGUUGUGAAAGCCCCGGGCUCAACCUGGGAACGGCAUCCGGAACUGUCAAGCUAGAGUGCAGGAGAGGAAGGUAGAAUUCCCGGUGUAGCGGUGAAAUGCGUAGAGAUCGGGAGGAAUACCAGUGGCGAAGGCGGCCUUCUGGACUGACACUGACACUGAGGUGCGAAAGCGUGGGUGGCAAACAGGAUUAGAUACCCUAGUAGUC
rnacentral:rRNA from 1 species